AAAACACUAAGUUAAAAAACUACAGGUCUUCAAAACCUGAAAUGAGAUAUUGAUUCUCGUGUUUUG